AACGAACGCUGGCGGCAUGCCUAACACAUGCAAGUCGAACGAAGCCUUCGGGCUUAGUGGCGCACGGGUGCGUAACGCGUGGGAAUCUGCCCUUAGGUACGGAAUAACUCAGGGAAACUUGUGCUAAUACCGUAUGAUGUCGAGAGACCAAAGAUUUAUCGCCUAGGGAUGAGCCCGCGUAGGAUUAGCUAGUUGGUGGGUAAAGGCCUACCAAGGCGACGAUCCUUAGCUGGUCUGAGAGGAUGAUCAGCCACACUGGGACUGAGACACGGCCCAGACUCCUACGGGAGGCAGCAGUGGGGAAUAUUGGACAAUGGGGGCAACCCUGAUCCAGCCAUGCCGCGUGAGUGAUGAAGGCCUUCGGUUGUUAAAGGCUCUUUUGGUCGGGGACGGAGUGAUGACGGUACCCGCAGAAUAAGACCCCGGCCUAACUUCGUGCCAGCAGCCGCGGUAA
rnacentral:rRNA from 1 species